GGAUUAUUCCAGGGAGAUGCCAUGACAUGAUAGACAUGGACUGAUGUUUUGCCAAAUCCCCCAGGCCUGGAGACCACUGAACACCUCCCACAAACAGCACUUCUGAUGGGGGUCCUCACGAGACCUUAAGCUGGAAAGAAACAUCUGCAGCAUCUGUGCCCUCUUCCACAUGACCAGGGAGCUCUGCCUGCUGCGUUUCUCACCUUUGCAUGGCUCCCGAGCGGCAGAAAGCAGAGCCCGUGGGGAUGAUGCUGUUGCACUUGAAAUCAUCUGGGCCCAAGAAGGAAGCUCUCUGUUUUGAAACCAGUGCUUCUUGCUCCAUCCUUCACACAAAUGUUAUCAUGUUUCUCCAGGGUGAAUAAUUUCA